GACGAACGCUGGCGGCGGGCUUAACACAUGCAAGUCGAACGGUGACGCACCUUCGGGUGCUGAUCAGUGGCGAACGGGUGAGUAACACGUGGGCAACCUGCCCCUGACUCUGGGAUAACUCCUCGAAAGAGGUGCUAAUACCGGAUACCACCUCCCUCGGCAUCGAGGGAGGUUGAAAGUUUUUCGGUCAGGGAUGGGCCCGCGGCCUAUCAGCUAGUUGGUGGGGUAAUGGCCCACCAAGGCGACGACGGGUAGCCGGCCUGAGAGGGCGACCGGCCACACUGGGACUGAGACACGGCCCAGACUCCUACGGGAGGCAGCAGUGGGGAAUAUUGCGCAAUGGGCGAAAGCCUGACGCAGCAACGCCGCGUGAGGGAUGACGGCCUUCGGGUUGUAAACCUCUUUCAGCGGGGACGAAGCGAAAGUGACUGUACCCGCAGAAGAAGCGCCGGCUAACUACGUGCCAGCAGCCGCAGUAACAC
rnacentral:rRNA from 1 species